GAUGAACGCUGGCGGCGUGCCUAAUACAUGCAAGUCGAGCGAACGGACGAGAAUCUUGCUUCUCUGAUGUUAGCGGCGGACGGGUGAGUAACACGUGGAUAACCUACCUAUCAGACUGGGAUAACUUCGGGAAACCGGAGCUAAUACCGGAUAAUAUUUUGAACCGCAUGGUUCAAAAGUGAAAGACGGUCUUGCUGUCACUUAUAGAUGGUUCCGCGCUGCAUUAGCUAGUUGGUAAGGUAACGGCUUACCAAGGCAACGAUGCAUAGCCGACCUGAGAGGGUGAUCGGCCACACUGGAACUGAGACACGGUCCAGACUCCUACGGGAGGCAGCAGUAGGGAAUCUUCCGCAAUGGGCGAAAGCCUGACGGAGCAACGCCGCGUGAGUGAUGAAGGUCUUCGGAUCGUAAAACUCUGUUAUUAGGGAAGAACAUAUGUGUAAGUAACUGUGCACAUCUUGACGGUACCUAAUCAGAAAGCCACGGCUAACUACGUG
rnacentral:rRNA from 1 species